GCUACGUCAGAGCAUUUGGCUCUUGACUUAGCAUUACAAGCAGAGGGAGAUUAGGUAACAAGGGUGGGGUGGUUCUUGCCAUGGACCUUGCAUAAGUUGAUGCUCCAGAAAGAUUUCUUGACAGAGUGAUUCUAAACCAAGUUGCUAUUUUUGUUGGUAUCUUUCUGGUACAUUUGUUUUCUGUUAUGGAAUUAAACCUGCGCUCCGAGCCUCCUGUUUCAUUGAGGUCAGCUUCUGCUUAUGAGAUAUUUUGUGUUCUUUCCUUAUCCAAAUAGUGCACCCAUAGUAAAUCUGUGUGCCACUUUUGCUGUUGAGUUAUUUUAAAUCUGUUAAUGGUUUCUUGUCUAUGUUUUUCUUUUCCUUUCUUUUUGGAUAAGGUCUUGCUCUGUCACCCAGGCUGGAGUGCAGUGGUGUGACCUCGGCUUACUGCAGCCUCGAACUCCCAGGCUCAAGCGAUCCUCUCACCUCAGCCUCCCCAGGAGCUGGGACUACAGCAGCAUGAGAAUGGACUGAUACACUACAAUAGACUAUGUCCCUGGGUUAUUGGAACCUCAUUCACAGAAGCACAGCAGAAAGGAGGCACUGUGUGCCCCUAAACUGAAGCA
rnacentral:lncRNA from 1 species